rnacentral:rRNA from 1 species
UACGUAGGGUGCAAGCGUUAAUCGGAAUUACUGGCGUAAAGCGUGCGCAGGCGGUGAUGUAAGACAGAUGUGAAAUCCCCGGGCUCAACCUGGGAACUGCAUUUGUGACUGCAUCGCUGGAGUACGGGAGAGGAGAGUGGAAUUCCUGGUGUAGCGGUGAAAUGCGCAGAUAUCAGGAAGAACACCCGUGGCGAAGGCGGCUCUCUGGAACGCAACUGACGCUGAGACGCGAAAGCGUGGGGAGCAAACAGG